rnacentral:tRNA from 1 species
UCCCUUGUGGCUCAGAUGGUAAAGAGUCUGCCUGCAACGCAGGAGUCCCAGGUUCAAUCCCUGGGUGGGGAA